UUGGGAUGUAUGAUAAACGGUGGCAAGCCGAAUAUCCUUCGAUCGGUCGUGACCAGAUCGGUAUGUCGCGAAUACGACUGCGGUCGUCUUGGCGUUUUGCCUUUCUUAGUCAAAGCUAAGUCGGCAAGUUAGCCAGCCGCAUUAGUCGAAGCCCUUUGCCUUCAGAGGUGGGGGCCGUCGUAGAUAUUCCGCUCCUUCGAUCUCCGUCGUAGAAUCGGAUAUGUCCUCG
rnacentral:lncRNA from 1 species